GUUAAAGCAAAAAUGACACUUUUAUAUACUUAUGUAUAAAUAUCUUUUAAAAGAUGGAUAUAUUUGCACCAAUUUAUAUGAUAAACAGAAUGAGAUCCAUCAAUACAGUUUAGUUUUCAGAACUAAAUUGUAGGAGAGAACAUACUCUCCACAUGAAGUUUAGCUUGCUUAAGUUCUAGAGUAAUUAAUCAAAUUCUAAAAUAGAUGCAACAAGUAUUGGCAUUGGGUAUAGAGCUGAAAUUAAUUAUUUAGAACCCAGACCUAUCCCCACCCAUCCGGCCCCAAGAAGAUAGAAAUUCUUAGGCAAUUAUCUUAUUUUGUGGAUUGUACGUGGCUUGCUUAGAAAGACAGAAACAGAAACAAUGUACUGGUGGAAAAAGCCAAUUAUUUUCGGUUUCAUUUAGAAAUAUUUGAUUAUUCAUUCUUGAAGAUGAAAGACAGAAAAAGAGUGAAUUGAAUGGGUGGGGGUAAUCGAUGUAUCUUUCAAAGCAAGAUACUUUGGGGUUGGCUCCACUAUUUUAAAACGGAGAUAAAGCAGAACAACAAUAACCAAAAACACACACCCAAAAAUAAUAAUAAUAAGGAAUUCAGAGUGGAUACGAAGGAAUAGAAUACCUUUCUUCCUAUCCAGUUAUUAGCAAUAUGAGCAGACAAUAAAGAGGGAAAAGAGGUUGCCAGGAUUUUUUGUUUGGCUUGACUACCUAUCUCUAACUUUGUGCAUGUAGAAUACUUGCUUAUCCCUGCUCUUUAGAGCUAUUACCUACCCUUCAUCUGGAGGUCACUCACGUGACAUCGUGACUACUAGUGCUGCACUGGAGGCUUGACCUUGACUUCCAUAAGGAAAUCAGUGAGCUCAGUGUUUUACUUUUUAAUCUCCUUUACCCAAGAGAAAGAAAUAUUGGAGGAAGUUGGAGGAGUUCGGGAGUGGAAGAGGGAGCUGGUGGAGAGAGUUGUUAUAGCCGGCCGACCAGUUGUCUCUAACCCGCUUUUUGCUCAUGGGCAAUGGGAGACCUGCAGGGAGGGAGGGAGCCUCUUGCUCCGGCUCUCCAGCGCAGCCAGCCUGUGCGGCUCACCAGUGGCAGCUGCUGCGGAUCCCACAAGUUGUUUUCCUCGUGGCGACCAUUCAGCAAAACGCACGAUCUUUUCUCAAAGAUUUAAAUUUCGCGGAUGAAUUACCAUACACCGGUUGCUUAGCAACUAAAUUCAAGCAGGGCUAAGAAUAUGCAAGCUUUUUGUAUUCUCAUUAAUAAAAAUGCCACUCUGACACAGCAA